UGGGGAAUUUUGGACAAUGGGCGCAAGCCUGAUCCAGCAAUGCCGCGUGCAGGAUGAAGGCCUUCGGGUUGUAGACUGCUUUUGUACGGAACGAAACGGUCUUUUCUAAUACAGAAGGCUAAUGACGGUACCGUAAGAAUAAGCACCGGCUAACUACGUGCCAGCAGCCGCGGUAAUACGUAGGGUGCGAGCGUUAAUCGGAAUUACUGGGCGUAAAGCGUGCGCAGGCGGUUAUGCAAGACAGAUGUGAAAUCCCCGGGCUCAACCUGGGAACUGCAUUUGUGACUGCAUAGCUGGAGUGCGGCAGAGGGGGAUGGGAUUCCGCGUGUAGCAGUGAAAUGCGUAGAUAUGCGGAGGAACACCGAUGGCGAAGGCAAUCCCCUGGGCCUGCGCUGACGCUCAUGCACGAAAGCGUGGGGAGCAAACA
rnacentral:rRNA from 1 species